rnacentral:rRNA from 1 species
GACGAACGCUGGCGGCGUGCCUAAUACAUGCAAGUAGAACGCACAGUUUAUACCGUAGCUUGCUACACCAUAGACUGUGAGUUGCGAACGGGUGAGUAACGCGUAGGUAACCUGCCUGGUAGCGGGGGAUAACUAUUGGAAACGAUAGCUAAUACCGCAUAAUAUUAAUUAUUGCAUGAUAAUUAAUUGAAAGGUGCAAUUGCACCACUACCAGAUGGACCUGCGUUGUAUUAGCUAGUAGGUGAGGUAACGGCUCACCUAGGCGGCGAUACAUAGCCGACCUGAGAGGGUGAUCGGCCACACUGGGACUGAGACACGGCCCAGACUCCUACGGGAGGCAGCAGUAGGGAAUCUUCGGCAAUGGACGAAAGUCUGACCGAGCAACGCCGCGUGAGUGAAGAAGGGUUUCGGAUCGUAAAGCUCUGUUGUAAGAGAAGAACGGGUGUGAGAGUGGAAAGUUCACACUGUGACGGUAUCUGACCAGAAAGGGACGGCUAACUACGUG